UGGUGUGAUGGUCAACGUUCACCAUGCCGCUCUCCAGGGAAGAAAAAGUCCUGAUUUGUAGCAUUUGCAGAUUUCCGUGUUGCAAACACUCUCACCAACCUUCCAUUACUAAAGGUGGAGUUAGGAAGAGAUCACACACACAACUGGUUUGCAUGAGCUGCUGAGAGCCAGCUCCAGGAUACCACAGUGCCUGUUCCCUUCUGAAGAUGAAAUUUCUCAUCGUCUCUGGACAUACCCCAGAGACCUUGGACCAUGGAGAAGAUACUUACCUUUUUCUGUGGGAGGAGCCAGUGCAUGGAGGAAGCGUGGUGCUCAACUGUCUACAUCAGAGUGCUGGAAUGUACAUGUCACCAGGCUAUUUUUCAUUAAAAAGUGAUGACAGCUAAAUAUAUUCCCUGACUCUGCGGCUAAUAACUUCCUGACUUAGACCUCACUUGCUAGACCCAUUCCUGAAACCAGACCGCACUAGUCCCUGUGGGGCUUCUAUUAUUGGUGAGCCAUCUCAACAGAUGCAGGUCUAACCAAAUCCAUGUCUAAUAUAAGCAUGCAAAUUGGGAGAUGAAAGGGAAAAUUUUAUGUGCUGAAUCACAAUCCACAGAGAGAGAAGUAGGGGCAUAAGCAGCUGCCUGGAAGACAGGACACCAAAAGUCAUUGUCAUAGAGGUCCUAAGCAGCACAGGGUUCAUUCCGUCCAGCCAUCAUUCAUAGCUAUGCCCUUUGAAUAUUCAUCUCUCACAUUAAAAAUAUUUGCCUGGCUACCCUGUUAUGAAGGCAGUAUGUGUAUAUCAAAGCAUGGUUUUUGCAGUGAGACACACAUGAAGCAUUUUAUCUGCAUUUUAAUACCAUUUAAUCCUCACUAUUAUUAUGCCCAUUUUACAGCUAGGAGAACUGAGUCACAAGGACACAAGUGGAAGUUCUUGAAUUAAAACCAAAAUAAGCCUAAUUCUAACAGCUGAGCUCUUUGCCAAUUUAUUUUAAGUCUCAUUUCCCUGCUGACCAACUCUCCCUUCGUCUUGCUUCAAAAACCACACUAAUUUCUUCUUCUCCUAUUUUCUUUUUUUUUUUCUGAGACAGGGUCUCACUCCCAUCACCCAGGCUGGAGUGCAGUGGCAUGAUCAUGGCUCACUGCAGCCUCGACUUCCUGGGCUCAGGUGAUUGUCCCACCUCAGCCUCCCGAGUAGCUGGAACUACAGGUGCAUGCCACCACACCCGGCUUUUUUUCUUUUUUUUCUUUUUAGUAGAGACUGGGAUCUUGACAUAUUGCCCAGGCUGGUCUCAAACUCCUGGGCUCAAGCGAUCCACCUCUCUCAGCCUCCCACAGUGCUAUGAUUACAGGCAAGAGCCACAGCACCAGGCCUAUUUCUUCUUUUAAGAGCUUGCCAAAUGCUACUAUCUUAACUUGGAACUUCUCCCCACCUCCAUCCCUUAAACCUAUCCAAGUUCUAGCCACGCUUUAAGGCUCUAGUAGGAAAGUCUCAACUUUCCUGUAAUGUUUUCUCAGAUGAUUCUAACCCAGGUAGACAUCCCACUCAUAUUACAUGUACUGCCUCUGUUGGCAUUAAUUUGGCGUUGCCUCAGUUGUACCAUUUCAUAACUUGUUUGGCUUAUUUUCUGACCUAAUGCGCAAAUUGUCAAGGGCAGAAACCAUGUGUAGACCUCAUAAUGCUAAGUUCUAAGUAGAUACUAAAAAUUUUUUUAAUGAAUGAAUAAUACUGAUACCAUAGGUCUAUUGAUGGACUGAAGCUCUGAAUAUUCUAGAACUGGGAGGAAGAUUCAACAUUUUUGAAGGCUUACUACGUGCUAAGCCCUAAGUUAGGCAUUUUAUACAAUGAUUUUAUUUAAACCUAUAUGGCUGAUAUUGUGACUUCCAUUUUACAGAUUUUUUAAAAGGUCCAGAGAGGUUAAGAAAUUUGCUAACACAGGGCUGGGUGUGGUGGCUCAUGCCUGUAAUCCCAGCACUUUGGGAGGCCGAGGCGGGCAAAUCACGAGGUCAGGAGUUCGAGACCAGCAUGGCCAACAUGGUAAAACCCCGUCCCUACUAAAAAUACAAAAAAUUAGCUGGGUGUGGUGGUGGGCGCCUGUAAUCCCAGCUACUUGGGAGGCUGAGGCAGGAAAAUCACUUAAAUCUGGGAGGCGGAGGUUGCAGUGAGCCAAGAUCAUGCCACUGCACUCCAGCCCAGGAGAUAGUGUGAGGCUCUGUCUCAAAGAAAAGGAAAUUUGCUAACACGUUAUUAGAUUGUGGCAGAGCUACGACUUAAAUGUAGACUAGUCUGACUCCAAAGCCCGCACCACACAGCCACAUGGGUCAUCACUGCAUCUGUGAACGAGUUAACCUACACAAACCCCAGGGGACGGGGAUCGUAGCUAGCCCAGAAAGAAAUGACAAAUGGUCACUUGGUAAUACAUUCUAGGUUCUGUUAACUCUAAUAUUCAGAAAGUUGUUCUUCAUGUCUGACUUAAUUCUCUCCUGCUUCCAUUUCAUGCCAUUUCCCCUUGUUUUGUAGUCAAGCAUAUGGAAAACAUCUGGCUACCAUUUCCUAGACACCACUCCUUCUUGGUCUAAAAAAUUCCUGUGGUAGCAGCUCAACUUUAUUUUGUGUCAUCUAAAAUAUAGCCACACACCUUUUAGAGUGUAGGUUGUCCUAACUGAUAGGCUUUCCUACCCAGGCAGAAUUAUAGCUGUCAGCAGGGAAAAUGAGUGAGAGCUACUGGCAGGAUGAGCUAAUCCGUGGUCAGAUGCUCUUGGAUCAAAGAUUCAUGCUGAAACCAGCCGUCAGAGCAAAGAAGCCAAGUUCAUGGAUGAAAAAAAAAUGAGGCUGGGAAGCACAAUGCACCCCAGUGACCUACCAUUACCACUGGCCUCAAAAUAGCCUUGGAGCCAGGAUAGGGGGUGGGAGAAUAUAGAAACCAGGCAAGUAGGCCAUGGCAGAGAUUAAUUUGGGGAAACCAAGGAUGGGCAGACAGCCCCCAUCCCCUGGCAUCUGGGGAACAAGGGCAGCUGUACAGGAAACAUAAAAACACAGUGGAGACCAGAGGAGGGGAGUCAAAUGAGAAUGCUAAAUGUUUGGAACCCAGUGGCUAAGAAAGACGUUGCCAAGUGUCACACUGAAAACAGGAAAGCUUUCCUGGGCCCUGGGUGUGGAGGCCACCGAACAAUGAAAGGGGAAGCCUGUAAGAAGAAUAACAAUGACACGGAAGCCUGCUCCAGCCUGGUGAAAUCCCUUCUGCAGUUUUUACAAGAAGCAAAACAAACAACAGUCUGACCCCUCGGCUCGCCCCCGACGCCACACCCCCUCCUCAGUCCGCAUGUUGGGUCAGGAAGGGCAGUGGUGUGGCCAGAUCCAUGAAAGGGAUUCUAAGAACAAAGCCUGUGCCGUUUACCUGCAGAUCAAAGUUUGCCGUUAAUAACAUGUGUGUUGGAGAGGGCAGAGAGAGGACCGUUGCCCCUGCAUUCCAUUAAAAAGGGAUUAUGGGCUGUCUGACCAGGAUCACUGACAAGUGAGAAGCUGAUACUGCUGUCCUUGGUCUAUGAAUGAGUAUGCUGAGCUCCAAAGAGCCUCAAGCUCAAAUGACAGAGCCAAGGUUGGAGAAUUCUUCCAAAGAAUACCUCAAGGCAACAAAACUGUCAUUUCUUACAGAGGAGCUGCCCAAUCUUUCACCUUCUGCUGUGCUCACCUAUGAUGCCAGCCCCCAUAACAACAAAAUCUUUCUCUUGAAGAAGAGUAAUGUAACUUUUCCAGGAAUGCUCAUGUUUUUCUCUCAACCGGGAAAUUAGAUAUUGAAAAGGAACAGUCUUUGUUACCUUAGAGUUAUUCUGAAAGUUUAAUUUCUUUUUAAGCAGAAAAUAUAGACUCAAAAUGCAGAGGAAGCAUUUCUGUAUCCAUGCAAGAAAAAAAAAUGAUAAAGAAACUAGAGUGGAUAUGAUCUAAUAAGCAUGUUAGGGACAAACCCUAAAGAUAACUCAAGGAUUUUAAAAGGAUUAAUGGCAAGUCAUGAUGAUUCAUGCCAGUAAUCCCAGCACUUUAGGAGGCUGAGGUGGCAGGAUGACUUGUGCCCAGGACUUCAAGACCAGCCUGGGCAACAUAGUGAAACCUCGUCCUUACGAAUAAUUUAAAAAGAAAAAAAUUAGCUGGUCAUGGUGGUGUGUGCCUGUGGACCCAGCUGUUUGAGAGGCUGAAGUGGCAGGAUCACUUGAGCCAGGGAUUUUAAUGCUGCAGUGAGUCAUAUGGACUUCACUGCACUCCAACGUGAGAGACAAAGCGAGACCCCAUCUCAAAUAAAACAAAAUAAUUAAUGUUGUUUAUGAGAAAAGAAGUAAUGGAAAUGUGAAGAGGUGAUUCUGCAGGCCAACCAGAAGCUAUGGAAAAGACCACCUUAAGCUCAAAGAAAAAUACAGACUCAGUUGUUACCACCGAAGUCUUAUCAAAAACCUUCACCAGUCACGGAGCUUUUUUUUUUUAUAUAUAUACUUUAAGUUUUAGGGUACAUGUGCACAAUGUGCAGGUUAGUUACAUAUGUAUACAUGUGACAUGCUGGUGUGCUGCACCCACUAAGUCAUCAUCUAGCAUUAGGUAUAUCUCCCAGUGCUAUCCCUCCCCUCUCCCACCACCCCACAACAGUCCUCAGAGUGUGAUGUUCCCCCUCCUGUGUCCAUGUGUUCCCAUUGUUCAAUUCCCACCUAUGAGUGAGAAUAUGCGGU
rnacentral:lncRNA from 10 species